GUGUGUGUGUGUGUGUGUGUGUGUGCAUGCGCGCGCGCGCGUCUUAUUUUUGGCGCAUGCACACCCCUCGGGUAGCCUCAAGGUCCGCAAUACCGGGAGCAAUCGGGAGUUCCCUCCCCCCCGCCUCCCCCCCCCCCGUCCCGGUCUCCGGCUGGACCCGUUGGUUCCUGGCAGCCAAGGACUCCCGGAAACGGGGAGUCCCCCUGUCCCAGCAGGGCAUCUUGAGACUCGGUUCAGUGCCAUCACCGUCAUGCUGGAGCGGGGACAGGCAGGUAGGAGCCGGGGUUCCUCGAAGGUGGACUCGGAGCAGUCGCCAGUGGGCAGCCUGGGCAGGGCCCGUCCCUAAUCGUGCACCCCGAGCAGCGCCCACUCCCCGGGGCUCCCCGCCUGUCCCCUGGCGCUCUCUCUGGGCAGCGACCUGUCACAGAUUUUUUGCACCUUUGCACCGAGAGGCAGCUGAUCCUACUCAAACGGAAACAGUGUCUCCUAAGGAGUCUGCAGGAAUUCUCAGUGGAAACGCACUCCAGCUUUGCCCCCCCCACCCCUGACGCAUUUAAAGCAAGGCCGCUUUUGCCUUGAUCACUUUGAGGCCAGGGAUGCCUCACAUGGAGCCUGAUUCCUGGCUACAAAACAAGGUUCAUGAAAAUUUCAGAAAUUAAAGUUAGUCCUGAGGGAAGUUCAUGAAUGCCUAAUGCUGGACUAGGAUUCAGGAUGGACUUCAGCAAGAGAAAAAAUGAGUCUAAAGGAUGGAGUGGGAUAUAAGCAAUAGUGGUG